rnacentral:tRNA from 1 species
GCCCGAGUAGCUCAGAUGGUAGAGCGGAGGACUGAAAAUCCUUGUGUCGGUGGUUCGAUUCCGCCCUCGGGCACCA